GAUGAACGCUCGCUACAGGCUUAACACAUGCAAGUCGAGGGGCAGCAUGGUCUUAGCUUGCUAAGGCCGAUGGCGACCGGCGCACGGGUGAGUAACACGUAUCCAACCUGCCGUCUACUCUUGGACAGCCUUCUGAAAGGAAGAUUAAUACAAGAUGGCAUCAUGAGUCCGCAUGUUCACAUGAUUAAAGGUAUUCCGGUAGACGAUGGGGAUGCGUUCCAUUAGAUAGUAGGCGGGGUAACGGCCCACCUAGUCUUCGAUGGAUAGGGGUUCUGAGAGGAAGGUCCCCCACAUUGGAACUGAGACACGGUCCAAACUCCUACGGGAGGCAGCAGUGAGGAAUAGUGGUCAAUGGGCGAGAGCCUGAACCAGCCAAGUAGCGUGAAGGAUGACUGCCCUAUGGGUUGUAAACUUCUUUUAUAAAGGAAUAAAGUCGGGUAUGGAUACCCGUUUGCAUGUACUUUAUGAAUAAGGAUCGGCUAACUCCGUG
rnacentral:rRNA from 1 species